CCUACGGGAGGCAGCAGUGGGGAAUAUUGGACAAUGGGGGAAACCCUGAUCCAGCAAUGCCGCGUGAGUGAUGAAGGCCCUAGGGUUGUAAAACUCUUUCAGAAGUGAAGAUGAUGACGGUAACUUCAGAAGAAGCUCCGGCUAACUCCGUGCCAGCAGCCGCGGUAAUACGGAGGGAGCUAGCGUUGUUCGGAAUUACUGGGCGUAAAGAGCGUGUAGGCUGUUAGGUAAGUCAGAGGUGAAAUCCCUAAGCUCAACUUAGGAACUGCCUUUGAUACUAUCUUACUAGAGAUCGAGAGAAGUUAGCGGAAUUCCAAGUGUAGAGGUGAAAUUCGUAGAUAUUUGGAAGAACACCAGUGGCGAAAGCGGCUAACUGGCUCGUAUCUGACGCUGAGACGCGAAAGCGUGGGUAGCAAACAGGAUUAGAUACCCUGGUAGUCCACGCCGUAAACGAUGUGUGCUAGCCGUUUGUGAUUUAUCGCAAGUGGUGCAGCUAACGCGUUAAGCACACCGCCUGGGGAGUACGAUCGCAAGAUUAAAACUCAAAGGAAUGACGG
rnacentral:rRNA from 1 species